rnacentral:rRNA from 1 species
ACUGGGACUGAGACACGGCCCAGACUCCUACGGGAGGCAGCAGUAGGGAAUCUUCCGCAAUGGACGAAAGUCUGACGGAGCAACGCCGCGUGAGUGAUGAAGGAUUUCGGAUCGUAAAGCUCUGUUGUUAGGGAAGAACAAGUGCCGUUCAAAUAGGGCGGCACCUUGACGGUACCUAACCAGAAAGCCACGGCUAACUACGUGCCAGCAGCCGCGGUAAUACGUAGGUGGCAAGCGUUGUCCGGAAUUAUUGGGCGUAAAGGGCUCGCAGGCGGCUUCUUAAGUCUGAUGUGAAAGCCCCCGGCUCAACCGGGGACGGUCAUUGGAAACUGGGGAACUUGAGUGCAGAAGAGGAGAGUGGAAUUCCACGUGUAGCGGUGAAAUGCGUAGAGAUGUGGAGGAACACCAGUGGCGAAGGCGACUCUCUGGUCUGUAAGUGACGCUGAGGAGCGAAAGCGUGGGGAGCGAACAGGAUUAGAUACCCUGGUAGUCCACGCCGUAAACGAUGAGUGCUAAGUGUUAGGGGGGGUUUCCGCCCCUUAGUGCUGCAGCUAACGCAUUAAGCACUCCGCCUGGGGGAGUACGGUCGCAAGACUGAAACUCAAAGGAAUUGACGGGGGGCCCCGCACAAGCGGUGGAGCAUGUGGUUAAAUUCGAAGCACGCGUGAACCUACAGGUCUUGACAUCCUCUGACAAUCCUAGAGAUUGGACCUCCCCUUCGGGGCAAGAGUGGACAGGUGGUGCAUGGUG